CCUACGGGAGGCAGCAGUGGGGAAUAUUGCACAAUGGGGGGAACCCUGAUGCAGCGACGCCGCGUGGGCGAUGGAGUGCUUCGGCAUGUAAAGCCCUAUCAGCAGGGAAGAAAAUGACGGUACCUGACUAAGAAGCACCGGCUAAAUACGUGACAGCAGCCGAGGUAAUACGUAUGGGGCAAGCGUUAACCGGAUUUACUGGGGGUAAAGGGAGCGAAGGGGGGCUGGAAAGCCUGAUGUGAAAUACCGGGGCCCAACCCCGGGGCUGCAGUGGGAACUGCGAGGCUGGAGUGCCGGAGAGGCAGGCGGAAUUCCUAGUGUAGCGGUGAAAUGCGUAGAUAUUAGGCGGAACACCAGUGGCGAAGGCGGCCUGCUGGCCGGUGACUGACGCUGAGGCUCGAAAGCGUGGGGAGCAAACAGGAUUAGAUACCCUAGUAGUC
rnacentral:rRNA from 1 species